GGUAGCCUAGUGGUUAGAGUGUAGAGGUGGCAGGGUAGCCUAGUGGUUAGAGUGUAGAGGUGGCAGGGUAGCCUAGUGGUUAGAGUGUAGAGGUGGCAGGGUAGCCUAGUGGUUAGAGUGUAGAGGUGGCAGGGUAGCCUAGUGGUUAGAGUGUAGAGGAGGCAGGGUAGCCUAGUGGUUAGAGUGUAGAGGUGGCAGGGUAGCCUAGUGGUUAGAGUGUAGAGGUGGCAGGGUAGCCUAGUGGUUAGAGUGUAGAGGUGGCAGGGUAGCCUAGUGGUUAGAGUGUAGAGGUGGCAGGGUAGCCUAGUGGUUAGAGUGUAGAGGUGGCAGGGUAGCCUAGUGGUUAGAGUGUAGAGGUGGCAGGGUAGCCUAGUGGUUAGAGUGUAGAGGUGGCAGGGUAGCCUAGUGGUUAGAGUGUAGAGGUGGCAGGGUAGCCUAGUGGUUAGAGUGUAGAGGUGGCAGGGUAGCCUAGUGGUUAGAGUGUAGAGGUGGCAGGGUAGCCUAGUGGUUAGAGUGUAGAGGAGGCAGGGUAGCCUAGUGGUUAGAGUGUAGAGGUGGCAGGGUAGCCUAGUGGUUAGAGUGUAGAGGUGGCAGGGUAGCCUAGUGGUUAGAGUGUAGAGGUGGCAGGGUAGCCUAGUGGUUAGAGUGUAGAGGUGGCAGGGUAGCCUAGUGGUUAGAGUGUAGAGGUGGCAGGGUAGCCUAGUGGUUAGAGUGUAGAGGUGGCAGGGUAGCCUAGUGGUUAGAGUGUAGAGGUGGCAGGGUAGUCUAGUGGUUAGAGUGUAGAGGAGGCAGGGUAGCCUAGUGGUUAGAGUGUAGAGGCGGCAGGGUAGCCUAGUGGUUAGAGUGUAGAGGCGGCAGGGUAGCCUAGUGGUUAGAGUGUAGAGGCGGCAGGGUAGCCUAGUGGUUAGAGUGUAGAGGCGGCAGGGUAGCCUAGUGGUUAGAGUGUAGAGGCGGCAGGGUAGCCUAGUGGUUAGAGUGUAGAGGCGGCAGGGUAGCCUAGUGGUUAGAGUGUAGAGGCGGCAGGGUAGGCUAGUGGUUAGAGUGUAGAGGCGGCAGGGUAGCCUAGUGGUUAGAGUGUAGAGGCGGCAGGGUAGCCUAGUGGUUAGAGUGUAGAGGCGGCAGGGUAGCCUAGUGGUUAGAGUGUAGAGGCGGCAGGGUAGCCUAGUGGUUAGAGUGUAGAGGCGGCAGGGUAGCCUAGUGGUUAGAGUGUAGAGGCGGCAGGGUAGCCUAGUGGUUAGAGUGUAGAGGUGGCAGGGUAGCUUAGUGGUUAGAGUGUAGAGGCGGCAGGGUAGCCUAGUGGUUAGAGUGUAGAGGUGGCAGGGUAGCGUAGUGGUUAGAGUGUAGAGGUGGCAGGGUAGCCGAGUGGUUAGAGUGUAGUGGUGGCAGGGUAGUGGUUAGAGUGUAGAGGUGGCAGGGUAGCCUAGUGGUUAGAGUGUAGAGGUGGCAGGGUAGCCUAGUGGUUAGAGUGUAGAGGUGGCAGGGUAGCCUAGUGGUUAGAGUGUAGAGGUGGCAGGGUAGCCUAGUGGUUAGAGUGUAGAGGUGGCAGGGUAGCCUAGUGGUUAGAGUGUAGAGGUGGCAGGGUCGCCUAGUGGUUAGAGU